rnacentral:rRNA from 1 species
GACGAACGCUGGCGGCGUGCUUAACACAUGCAAGUCGAACGGAAAGGCCCUGCUUGCAGGGUGCUCGAGUGGCGAACGGGUGAGUAACACGUGGGUGAUCUGCCCCUUACUUUGGGAUAAGCCUGGGAAACUGGGUCUAAUACUGGAUAGGACCAUGCUGGAGGUGGUGUGGUGGAAAGAUUAGUUUCGGUAAGGGAUGAGCUCGCGGCCUAUCAGCUUGUUGGUGGGGUAAUGGCCUACCAAGGCGUCGACGGGUAGCCGGCCUGAGAGGGUGGACGGCCACAUUGGGACUGAGAUACGGCCCAGACUCCUACGGGAGGCAGCAGUGGGGAAUAUUGCACAAUGGGCGCAAGCCUGAUGCAGCGACGCCGCGUGGGGGAUGACGGCCUUCGGGUUGUAAACUCCUUUCAGCCAUGACGAAGCCCUUGUGGUGACGGUAGUGGUAGAAGAAGCACCGGCUAACUACGUG